ACUGCAGGUCGCCUUAUCGCACUUUUAAAGUGAGGAAAGUCCGGACACCACAGCACAGCUUAGCGGGUAACGCCCGUCAAUUUAUAAGCGAUUAUAAAUCGGACAAGUGCAACAGAAAGCAAGUACAGUUCGGCUGUAGUGAAACCAGGUAAACUCUAGGCGGUGAAAUAUCAAGUAAACCAAGGCUUGAGACUUGUGCGGUCGAUCUUGGAGGGUUGGUAGCUUGAUUUUGACAGCAAUGUCAAAACUAGAUAAAUGAUAAGGCAUCAAGUCUAACUUGAUGACAGAAUCCGGCUUAUAGACCUGCUUUUUUU
rnacentral:RNase_P_RNA from 1 species